rnacentral:rRNA from 1 species
UACGGAGGGUGCAAACGUUAUCCGGAUUCACUGGGUUUAAAGGGUGCGUAGGUGGCUUGGUAAGUCAGUGGUGAAAGCCCGGAGCUCAACUCCGGGUCGGCCGUCGAUACUUCCGGGCUUGAGCACUGUAGAGGCAGAUGGAAUUCCGGGUGUAGCGGUGGAAUGCGUAGAGAUCCGGAAGAACACCGGUGGCGAAGGCGGUCUGCUGGGCAGUUGCUGACGCUGAUGCGCGACAGCGUGGGGAGCAAACAGG